AACAGGAUUAGAUACCCUGGUAGUCCACGCCCUAAACGAUGUCAACUGGUUGUUGGGUCUUCACUGACUCAGUAACGAAGCUAACGCGUGAAGUUGACCGCCUGGGGAGUACGGCCGCAAGGUUAAAACUCAAAGGAAUUGACGGGGACCCGCACAAGCGGUGGAUGAUGUGGUUUAAUUCGAUGCAACGCGAAAAACCUUACCCACCUUUGACAUGUACGGAAUCCUUUAGAGAUAGAGGAGUGCUCGAAAGAGAGCCGUAACACAGGUGCUGCAUGGCUGUCGUCAGCUCGUGUCGUGAGAUGUUGGGUUAAGUCCCGCAACGAGCGCAACCCUUGCCAUUAGUUGCUACGAAAGGGCACUCUAAUGGGACUGCCGGUGACAAACCGGAGGAAGGUGGGGAUGACGUCAAGUCCUCAUGGCCCUUAUAGGUGGGGCUACACACGUCAUACAAUGGCUGGUACAAAGGGUUGCCAACCCGCGAGGGGGAGCCAAUCCCACAAAGCCAGUCGUAGUCCGGAUCGCAGUCUGCAACUCGACUGCGUGAAGUCGGAAUCGCUAGUAAUCGUGGAUCAGAAUGUCACGGUGAAUACGUUCCCGGGUCUUGUACACACCGCCCGUCACACCAUGGGAGCGGGUUCUGCCAGAAGUAGGUAGCCUAACCGUAAGGAGGGCGCUUACCACGGCAGGGUUCGUGACUGGGGUGAAGUCGUAACAAGGUAACC
rnacentral:rRNA from 1 species